rnacentral:rRNA from 1 species
GAUUAACGCUGGCGGCGUGCAUAACACAUGCAAGUCGAACGAUGAAACUUUAAUGAACCCUUCGGGGAGAAUUAAAGCGGAUUAGUGGCGAACGGGUGAGUAACGCGUGAGUAACCUGCCUUACACAAGGGGAUAGCCUUUGGAAACGAAGAAUAAUACCCUAUAAAACCAUAAAAGCACAUGCAAUUAUGGUCAAAGUGAUAGCGGUGUAAGAUGGACUUGCGUCUGAUUAGCUAGUUGGUGAGAUAAAAGCCCACCAAGGCAACGAUCAGUAGCCGGCUUAAGAGAGUGUACGGCAACAUUGGGACUGAGACACGGCCCAGACUCCUACGGGAGGCAGCAGUGGGGAAUUUUGCACAAUGGGGGAAACCCUGAUGCAGCGACGCCGCGUGAUUUAGAAGGCCUUCGGGUUGUAAAAAUCUUUUGUAUAGGAAGAAAAUGACAGUACUAUACGAAUAAGGUCCGGCUAAUUACGUG